rnacentral:rRNA from 1 species
GAUGAACGCUGGCGGCGUGCUUAACACAUGCAAGUCGAACGAUGAAGCCGGAGCUUGCUCUGGUGGAUUAGUGGCGAACGGGUGAGUAACACGUGAGUAACCUGCCCUUGACUCUGGGAUAAGCGCUGGAAACGGCGUCUAAUACCGGAUACGAGCUUCCACCGCAUGGUGAGUUGCUGGAAAGAAUUUCGGUCAAGGAUGGACUCGCGGCCUAUCAGCUUGUUGGUGGGGUAACGGCUCACCAAGGCAACGACGGGUAGCCGGCCUGAGAGGGUGACCGGCCACACUGGGACUGAGACACGGCCCAGACUCCUACGGGAGGCAGCAGUGGGGAAUAUUGCACAAUGGGCGCAAGCCUGAUGCAGCAACGCCGCGUGAGGGACGAAGGCCUUCGGGUCGUAAACCUCUUUUAGCAGGGAAGAAGCGAAAGUGACGGUACCUGCAGAAAAAGCACCGGCUAACUACGUGCCAGCAGCCGCCGUAA